CGGAUGUUGUAGAGGGUCUUGCACUGGAUGUCAGAGCAUCAAAAGCUAAAUCACUUAGCGCAGGAUUAUUUGCAAAAAUGAAAUGUUUAAAUUUACUCCAAAUCAACGAAGCACAUCUCACCGGAUCCUUCAAACUGCUUUCUAAAGAGUUGAUGAGGAUUUGUUGGCUUCAAUGUCCUUUGAAAUAUUUUCCAUCUGAUUUUACAUUUGACAAUCUAGAUGUUCUUGAUAUGCAGUACAGUAAUCUCAAAAAACUAUGGAAGGGAAAAAAGGUGCGAAACACACUACAAUCCACAAAAUUUCUCCAGUAUGUAAUUUAUAUUUACAUGUUAUGACUUUCUAUGAUUAAUUUUCAUUAUUAUGCGCUCUAUUAUACAGAUUCUCAACAGGCUAAAAAUCUUUAAUCUCAGUCAUUCUCAGAACCUUAUUAAAACACCAAACUUGUACAGUUCAAGUCUAGAGAAACUAAAGCUGAAAGGUUGCUCAAGUUUAGUUGAAGUCCAUCAAUCUAUUGGAAAUUUGACGAAUCUCGCUUUCUUGAAUCUAGAGGGAUGUUGGUGUCUAAAGAUUCUCCUAGAAAGCAUUGGCAAUGUAAAGUCUCUUAAAACUCUGAAUAUUUCUGGGUGUUCAGAACUUGAGAAAUUGCCAGAACGCAUGGGUGAUAUGGAAUCCUUAACUGAGUUGCUAGCUGAUGGGAUUGAAAAUGGGCAAUUUCUCUCUUCAAUUGGACAAUUAAAGUAUGUCAGAAGGUUAUCAUUGUGUCGAAACAGUUCGGCUCCACCAAUUUCUUCUUUGAUUUCAACAGGUGUUUUGAAUUGGAAACGUUGGUUGCCAACAUCUUUCAUUGUGAAACGUCUUGAGCUUUCUAAUGGUGUGGUUUGUCUGAUCGCGUAACUAACUUAGUUGAUUUUAUUGGUUUGUCCGCUCUAGAAGUAUUGGAUCUAACAGGAAACAAAUUCUCUAGCUUGCCUUCUAGGAUCGGCUUCCUUCCAAAGCUAAGGUACUUGUCAGUUCGGGCAUGCAAAUAUCUUGUAUCACUCCCAGAUGUUCCCUCAAGUUUAGACUGUUUGGGUGCAUCUUAUUGCAAAUCAUUAGAAAGAGUAAGAAUACCAAUCGAGUCAAAAAAAGAACUAUAUAUAAAUCUACAUGAAAGUCAUUCGUUAGAAGAGAUUCAGGGCAUCGAAGCUCAAAGUAAUAUUCUCUGGCAUAUUGAUGUUGAUGACCACAGUCAUUCACCAAAUAAAUUACAGAAAAGCAUUGUUGAGGUACUAUUUCUUUCAGUCUCUCAAUUGGUACAUACAUUGAUUAAUAUCUAAAAUCUCAGCAUUCCUUGAAAUCAAUAUGUAUGCAAGCAAUGUGCAAUAGUGGUCACCGGUAUCGUAUUGAGUGCAUUCCUGGUAAGAUGCCAAAUUCGUUAAGCUACAGUGGAGUAGGAUGCUCAUUGUCAUGUCCACCACUUGAGAAGGAUGAUCAUUAUUACUUACAGACUCGCAUUAUUAUUAUUAUUAUUAUUAUUAUUAUAAGAAAUAAAAGCAGUGGUAUUCAAUUGUUUGAAGAUAAACGAACAAAAACUGGGGAUGAUGCGUCGUUUCCUUGCACAAAUAGUUUCUUACUCAGACUCUGCAGACCAUAGGUUUCUAGUAACCAUAAUACUAGAUGAUGAAUCCUGAAUAUUAAUUAUAAUUUUAUGAUUAAAUCCAAAAAUACAUCCCAACAACACACACCUCUAUAAUGAGGCACGACAAAAGCCUCCGCCAUCGCCGAACGACGUUGCGGCGUGACCCCGCAACACAUAUCAUGGUUAUAAUAGUUGGACGGUAUAUUUUUUGAAUUUAUUAGAAAUAACAUGUAAUGUGAAGUGUCAAAUAUCAUCUUAACCCAAAAAAAUCAUCUCAACAAAGGAGUUAUUUGCUGCAAUUUCAUAGCUUCCCCCACGUGGGAUCAAACCAACUCUUCCCAUUUUUUACAAAAUUUGAUAAGAAAUAAGAAAUCAUGUGAAAAUUAUACAAAAUUUAUUAUUAAUCAUCAAGAUUUAUUGUUGAUUUCAAUAUUGAAUAAUGGCUUAUUUUAUAAUAUAAAUUAUGUUUGAAAUAAAAUUGAUAAAAUUAAAAAAUAAUUAAUGAUGGGAUCAUUUGUUUUGUGGUGGAAAAAUAUUUUUUGUAAAAAUAAAAUUUUAUUUUUUGCUUCAAAUUAGUAUAUUUUUUAUGUUUUAAAAUCGUUUUAACGUGAAGGUAUCAAAAAAAAAUUUUAAAAAUAAAAAUAUAUAUUUUAAAGUAAAGAUGACUUUGAAAAACAAAUGCAUAAUUGAUUUGAAUAUAUUAUUUGAUUAGUCUGAUCUUAGGUUGAGUCUGCUACUUCUACCUAGUUUCGUGGUGCUUUCUCCUUCAAAUGAAUAGAAAGCAUUUCCUUUCACUUUCAAUUUCAUAGAUAACUUCUCUCUCCUAUUGCUGCAAUUUCAUAGCUAACUCUUUGUUAUAUUGCUCCUUGCAUUUUAAAAAGGGCAAUUUGAACAUUUAAAAAACCUAAGAAUUGGAAAAGAAUAAAGAAAAAACAAGUUGUUAUAUUGUGUUCAUUUAAUCGUCAUAUUUUCUUUCUUAAAUGGGCUCUCUUGAUCCCAAGCAACAAGUGUUCAUAAACAAAUGCAAAAAGGACAUCAAACAAUUAAAACAAAUUAAGUGAAUGAAUAGAAAAACUUUGGCGCCGUUGACUGACUACCAAAUUAACCAAUAUUUAACAUUUGGUACAACUCAAAUUAAUUAGGAAUUUGAUUGGGGCUGGGUCAAUGAAGAAUAACAAUUAAACAGAAAUGUUGAACAAUAAAAUUUGACGAGAAAUAGAAAAUCAUGUGCAAAUUAUACAAAAUUUAUUAUUAACCAUCAAGAUUUAUGACUUAUUUUAUAAUAUAAAUUAUAUUUGAAAUAAAAAUGAUAAAAUUAAAAAAUAAUUAAUGAUGGGAUCAUUUGUUUUGUGGUGGAAAAUCAUUUAAAUUUUUUUUUUUGCUUCAAAUUAUUAUAUGAUAACAAAAAUAAAAUUUAAAAAUUUAAAUAUAUUAUUUAAAUAUAUUUUAAAAUAAAAAUCACAUUGAAAAUCAAUUGUAAAAUUGAUUUGAAUAUAUUAUUUGAUUAGUCUGAUCAUAGGUUGAGUCUGCUACUUCUACCUAGUUUCGUGGUGCUUUCUCCUGCAAAUGUAUAGAAAGCAUAUCCGUUCUCCUAUAUAAAGAAUACAGUUAACCUCAAUUCAAUAUCCUUGCUUCUACCUAGUUUCGUGGUGCUUUCUCCUGCAAAUGUAUAGAAAGCAUAUCCGUUCUCCUAUAUAAAGAAUACAGUUAACCUCAAUUCAAUAUCCUUGCUUUAACUCUGAUUGCUGCAAUUUCUCUCUCCGAUUGCUGCAAUUUCAUAGCUAACUCUUCUUUGCUUCUUUCCUGUUUUAAUUUCAUGUCUUUACCAUUAACAAUAAUGUGAAAGCUUUAUUUGUUUCAUGUUUAACUUCAGUUGCUAUUGUCUUAUGCUCCCUCAUUAUUAAGCUUAAACUGUUGUAUCUCUUGCUUGUAUUUGGAAGAGAGUAGAUACCUUAUGCAAUUGCUCCAUCGCUAAUUGAUUGUUCCUCAAAUUCUGCAGCUGCCAUGACAGAGCCAGAGUCUUCUCGAAGUAGACCUGAAGGGACCUAUGAUGUCUUCUUGAGCUUUAGAGGAAAAGAUACUCGCAAGACAUUUACAGAUCAUCUAUAUACUGCCCUAGUCCAAGCAGGAAUCCACACUUUUCGAGAUGAUGAUGAACUUCCUAGAGGAGAAGAAAUCCACGAUCAUCUCCUCAGGGCAAUUCAAGAAUCAAAGAUAUCCAUAGUUGUCUUCUCAAAAGGAUAUGCUUCUUCUAGAUGGUGUCUCAAUGAACUUGUAGAGAUUCUUAAGUGCAAAAAUAGGAAAACGGGUCAGAUUGUUCAACCUAUAUUCUAUAACAUUGAUCCUUCAGAUGUGAGAAAACAGAAUGGCAGUUUUGCAAAAGCAUUUGUUAAACAUGAAGAGCGUUUUGAAGAGAAGUUGGUGAAGGAGUGGAGAAAAGCUCUUGAGGAGGCCGGAAAUCUAUCUGGAUGGAAUCUCAAUGAUAUGGCAAAUGGGUAUGCCUUUUUUCUCUAAGAUUCACUUGCACACAUUUAUGGAGUCAAUAUACUUUACAUUUUUCAAUGUGAAACAAUAAAAAACUUAAUUGACUCGCUAUCAACGACUUGCUUUUGUCUAUGAGCAGGCAUGAAGCAAAAUUUAUCAAAGAGAUUAUCAAGGAUGUGUUGAAUAAAUUAGAUCCCAAGUACUUGUAUGUUCCUGAGCACCUAGUAGGUAUCGAUCGGCUUGCUCACAAUAUUAUUGACUUUCUAAGUACUGCAACAGAUGAUGUCCUCAUUGUGGGCAUACAUGGGAUGCCAGGAAUAGGAAAGACGACUAUAGGAAGAGUUGUAUUUAAUCAACUCUGCUAUGGAUUCGAAGAAAGCUGUUUUCUUUCGAAUAUCAAUGAAACAUCAAAACAAUUUAAUGGUCUUGUUCCUUUACAAAAGCAACUUCUUCACGAUAUUUUCAAACAGGAUGCUGCAAACAUCAAUUGUGUCGAUAGAGGAAAGGUUCUGAUCAAAGAACGACUUUGUCGCCAAAGAGUUCUUGUUGUUGCUGAUGAUGUGGCUCGUCAGGACCAGCUAAAUGCUUUGAUGGGAGAGCGAAGUUGGUUUGGUCCCGGAAGUAGAGUCAUUAUUACAACAAGAGAUUCAAGUGUUCUACUUAAAGCAGAUCAAACAUAUCAGAUCGAAGAAUUGAAACCAGAUGAGUCCCUUCAGCUUUUCAGCUGGCAUGCCUUGAGGGACACCGAGCCAGCAGAAGAUUAUAUUGAGCUUUCGAAGGAUGUAGUUGAUUACUGUGGAGGACUUCCUUUGGCUCUUGAGGUUAUGGGUGCUUGUUUGUCUGGGAAAAACAGAGAUGGUUGGAAAUCUGUAAUUGACAAAUUGAGAAGAAUUCCAAACCACGAUAUUCAAGGAAAGCUUAAAAUAAGUUAUGACUCACUGGACGGUGAAGAACUACAAAAUGCAUUCCUUGAUAUCGCAUGCUUCUUUAUUGAUAGAAAGAAAGAGUACGUCGCAAAAGUGCUAGGAGCCCGUUGCGGUUACAAUCCAGAAGUUGAUUUGGAAACUCUCCGUGGAAGGUCUCUGAUUAAAGUUAAUGCCAUUGGAAAAAUAACCAUGCAUGAUCUAUUACGAGACAUGGGAAGGGAGGUCGUUCGUGAAACGUCUCCAAAAGAACCUGGAAAGAGGACCAGAAUUUGGAAUCAAGAGGAUGCAUGGAAUGUACUUGAGCAGCAGAAGGUACGUAAGAGCUCAAUGCAUACACGAAAGCAUAGUCAUGCGUAUUUUCUAGUCAAACUUAUUACAAAUAAUUGAAUGAAAGUUGUAUUGAUUUUUUUUUAGGGUACGGAUGUUGUAGAGGGUCUUGCACUGGAUGUCAAAGCAUCAGAAGCUAAAUCACUGAGCACAGGAUCAUUUGCAAAAAUGAAACGCUUAAAUUUACUCCAAAUCAAUGGAGUGCAUCUCACCGGAUCCUUCAAACUACUUUCUAGAGAGUUGAUGUUGAUAUGUUGGCUUCAAUGUCCUUUGGUAUAUUUUCCAUCUGAUUUUACCAUUGACAAUCUAGCUGUUCUUGAUAUGCAGUACAGCAACCUCAAAGAACUAUGGAAGGGAAAAAAGGUGUGAAACAUGCAUGUUCAAAAUUUCUCCAUUAUGUAAUUUAUAUUUACAUAUUAUGACCUUUUAUGAUUAAUUCUCAUUAUUUUAUGCUUUAUUAUACAGAUUCUCAAUAGGCUAAAAAUCAUUAAUCUCAGUCAUUCUCAGAACCUUAUUAAAACACCAAACUUGCACAGUUCAAGUCUAAAGAAACUAAAGCUGAAAGGUUGCUCGAGUUUAGUUGAGGUGCAUCAAUCUAUUGGAAAUUUGACGAGCCUCAUUUUCUUGAAUCUGGAGGGAUGUUGGAGGCUAAAGAUUCUCCCUGAAAGCAUUGUCAAUGUAAAGUCUCUUAAACGCUUAAAUAUUUCUGGGUGUUCACAACUUGAGAAAUUGCCAGAACGCAUGGGUGAUAUGGAAUCCUUAAUUGAGCUGCUAGCCGAUGGGAUUGAAAAUAAGCAAUUUCUCUCUUCAAUUGGACAAUUAAAAUAUGUCAGAAGGCUAUCAUUGCGUGGAUACAGUUUCAGCCAGGACUCACCAUCAUGGCUUUCACCGUCAUCUACAUCUUGGCCUCCAUCAAUUUCUUCUUUUAUUUCAGCAAGUGUUUUAUGUUUGAAACGUUUGCUGCCAACAACUUUCAUCGAUUGGAGAUCAGUGAAAAGUCUUGAACUUUCUUAUGUUGGUUUGUCUGAUCGAGUAACUAACUGUGUUGAUUUUAGAGGUUUUUCCUCUCUAGAAGAACUAGAUCUAUCAGGAAACAAAUUCUCUAGCCUGCCUUCUGGGAUCGGCUUCCUUGCCAAGCUAGAGAUGAUGGAUGUUCAGGAAUGCAAAUAUCUUGUAUCAAUCCGAGAUCUUCCCUCAAACUUAGUCUAUUUGUUUGCAGGUGGUUGCAAAUCAUUGGAAAGAGUAAGAAUACCAAUCCAGUCAAAAAAAGAACUAUAUAUAAAUCUACAUGAAAGUCAUUCGUUAGAAGAGAUUCAGGGCAUCGAAGGUCAAAGUAAUAUUUUUUGGAAUAUUCUUGUUGAUGACUGCAUUCCUUCACCAAAUAAAUUACAGAAGAGCGUUGUUGAGGUAAUAUUUCUUUUAGUCUCUCUUUCACACAAAAAUAAACACAUACAAUUGGCACAUGCAUUGAUUAAUGUCUAAAAUCUCAGCAUUCCUUGAAAUCAAUAUAUAUACAGGCAUUCUGCAACGGUUGUUACCGGUAUUUUAUUUACUGCCUUCCUGGUAAGAUGCCAAAUUGGAUGAGCUACAGUGGAGAAGGAUGCCCAUUGUCAUUCCAUAUACCUCCAGUCUUCCAAGGCUUAGUUGUUUGGUUUGUCUGUUCACUUGAGAAGGUUCAUCGUCACUCCAUAUACUUAGACAUAGACAUUAUUAUUAUUAUAAGAAAUAAAAGCAACGGUAUUCAAUUGUUUGAAGAUGAACGAACAAAAUACACAUAUCCAGCACCAAAAACUGGGGGAUGGAUAAGAUACAUAAGUGGAAGUGAAAUGGCAAUGGAAGAUUACUGUGCAGAUGACGAAUUGGAACUAUACAUAUAUUCAAAGCCAAUACGGAUUGCUGUGCGCAACAGUUAUCCAUUCUACCUCCUGCACAUUAAAGAAUGUGGGGUUCAUGUGAUCGCAGGAAAGUCAAAUUCAUUUGAAGAGUCGGAAGUAGAAAGAGAUACAGUGAUGCCAUAUCAUCUGCUUCCUCACCCUCCUUGUGGUUCAAUUACAGCGUCUACACCAAAGCAAUGGAGUGAUUAUUUAUUUCCGAAGCUGCAAAAUCAUAACCUCAAUUUAACGCUUGAUGGUAAGAACAAAUAUUUCAUUUAGUUAUUUUUAUUCUAUUCUAUUUAAUUUAUGAGAUUAAAUAUUAUCUUUAAUUAUUUCAUUAUUAUUAUUUAAUCUAAAAAAUUAAAUAUCAUCUUUAAUAAAAAACAAUUAUUAAAUAUUUAAGGUUUUUUUUGGUAAGAAUACAUAUUUCCUUUAGUUAUUUCUAUUUUAUUCUAUUUAAUUUAAGAGAUUAAAUAUCAUCUUUAAAUAUUACAUUUUUAUUAUUUAAUCUAAAAAAUUAAAUAUUAUCUUUCACAAUAUUUUUUAUUAAAUAUUUAGAGUCUGCUUGGUUUUAUUUUUUUCUUGAUUUUAUGAUACCAUUUUUCUUAUUUAAUAUAAAAAAUAAGUAUUAUCUUUAAUAAUUAGAUUAUCGAAUAUCACUUAAAAAUAAAUUAUAUCUUUAAUAAUUAUUUAAAAAAAACAAAAGGCCAACAAUCACUAACAUAUUUUAUUAAAAUCACUUUAGUUUAUUUAGAAAAUAUUGAAAACUGAUUUUUGUUUUUUACAUUAAAAUAAAAAAUUGAAUAAUGUUUUUAUAUUUUAUUUCAAACUCGAUAUUUUAAAACAAAAAUGAAAAAGAUGUGAUAUUAACCUUUUUUAUUAUAAAGUAAGUUUUUUAAUUAAAAGUGAAGGGAAUUUGUUUGUAAUAACAAAAUGCAUAUACAAUCGUGCACGUUUAACUUUCUUUUCAAAUUUGGAAGUUUUAUUGAAUUUGAUGGUUUUUUAGGGGACAUAUGACAAGAUUAUUUCACAAAGAGAUGCUUGAUUAUUUAAGAGAUGCUUGAAGUUACUCCAAAUCAGUAUGGUAUUUAUGUCUGACGAGUUGAAUUUGAAGAUCAUUUUACAAACUUGUGUCUGACGAGUUGAAUUUGAAGAUCAUUUUACAAACUUGGAAGUUCUAUUGAAUACUCUUUGUAAUCUUUUCCAUCCGAUUUGAAAUUGGACAACCUAAUUAUUAUUAUCCAUGACGUAAUUUAUAUUUUCAAUUUACAAUUUUUGAUGAAUAUUGUUUCCUUUUUUUUUCUCACUUCUCGACGUAUUCUCCAAAAAAUGAAAAUCCUUGAUGCUAGUUAGAAAUAAAUUGGUUUUCUAGGAAGAGAUUAUUGAUUGGAAUAUAGUAUUUGAGUUGGUUCUUCAUGUUUAAUGUUAUAAUUUAAAAUAAUUGAUGAAAAUUACCGAUAUACAGGAAAGUUCUAAAAGCAUCAUUAAUUAGUCUAAUAAGAGUUGUUAGUUUUGGCUAUAAGAUAUUGCUAAGUAUUAUUGCAUGGUUUUUACUAUUUUUUUGCAUUUCUUUUUUUGUAUAUACAACUUUUGUUUUUCUUGCCAGUUUGUCAUUAGCUUCGUGACACCAACACCAAUUAAUAAUAAAUCUUGGACUAUUAUUAAAUAAAAAAAACAUAAAUAUUGUUAAAACACCAAACUUGCAUUGCUCAAACCUAAAGAAACCUAUGACAAUAAUCUAAUUUAGAAAAUAAUUAAUUUAUCCUUGUAGUCUUAGAAAAUAGUAUUUAAUCCUUAUGUUUUCAUAUUCAUCUAUGAUUUAAUGUGUUGAUUGAAAUUGACAAGUGAGUUUACUCACAUAUUGUUACAUUGUUUUUGAGUUCAAAUAGACGUUUGAAAAGGGAGUUUAUCUUCUUGGCAUUGUUCAAAGGAAAGCAAAAGGACAUUCCAAGUGUGAAAGUGUAUUAUUGUCAUAAAGUUUUUCAAACUUCCAAUAUAGAGAGUGAAAUAAAGAGCAAAAGGAAACAUCUUUCUUGUUCCCUUUCCCUUCUUUACAUGGCUUACUGAUCAAUGAAAAAGCAAACACUCAAUUUGAUUUUCAAUCAGUAUGAGAGUGCGAAAGGGAAUUGAAUUCAAAGAUCCCACGAAUGCAUGUUCUCCACAAACUUCCAACAAAUAGGAAUUGCAUCGAUGUUUCCUCGUGAUGUGAAUUUCUUAAACCCACUACCAGAAAUUCGCUAAAUACCAACGGAUUUACCGACGGAAUAUUUUUUGUCGGUAUUUUGAGGUCGAAAUUACCGACGGCCAUUUUCCGUCCGUAAUUCAAUCGGUAAAAACCGACGAAAACUUUUCCGUCCGUAAUUCAGUCGGUACAUACCGACGGAAAAUUUCUGUCGGUAUUUACCGACUGAAUUACGGACGGAAAAGUUUUCGAAUUUAAAAAAAGGCGGGUCGCUGACGUGGAGGUUUUGGCGGGUUAUUUUUUUCCGACGGAAUCGCCGACGGAUUCAAAAACGACUGCCCGUACAGUGCCCGUAAAGUGAUGUGACCGGUUCGCCGUUUAAAUUUCCGACGGACUCACCGAGGGAUUUGAAAUGGCAGAUCCGUACGGUGACAUGUCUAUGUUUCCGUCAGAAUCACCGGCGUAAUAACCGACGGAGUGUCCGUCGGUAAAACCGUCGGAAAAAGUUAAUAUAUGACAGCUCUGCCGACCCUCUCAUCCCCUAUUUCUCCUUCUUCUUCCUCAUCCCAACUCUCCCCAUCUGCAAACAACCAGCCCCCCUCCCCCUCCAAAAAAAAAAUCUUCCUCAUAUCAGCACAACAAGUUAUAUUUCUUGAAGUUUUGUGGUCACAGCAUCCGCGUGUGUUCUGAUUUACUGACGGAUUUUAUCAAUUUUUGUAAGUAAUUAUAUCUUUUUAAAUUUUAACAUUUAAUUAAAUGUCAAUUUUAUUGUUUUUUAAGUAUAUGUAUUUUGUUAGUAGAUGUACAUGUUUUAUUGUUAUUUCUCAAACAAACUUGUAGUAUAUGAAUGUAUAAUUUUGUACCUGUUAUGGUUUGUUUUAGAUUUUGUAAGAUUGUAUUUGUUUGUAAAUUGUUAUUUCUUUAUGGAAUUACCAAAUUACAUGUGCUAUUUUGAAAUAAUUAAUAGCUUGCUUAAUGGGCCCAUUUAAAGUUUUAUCAAUGGUAUUGCGGAGUGGUAAUUUCUGUAAAUGUAUAUUUUUUAAUUCGUAUGGACGUUGAUAAAUGAUAAUGAAUAUUUAAUAUUUAUGAGAAGUUGUGAUUGGUUUGUUGGAUAAUCUCGAGUUAAAGUAAUAUUUGUACAAGUUUAUUUACCUAACUUAGUUAAUUAAUACAUGAUGUCAUCAUAAUUUUAUAGAGGUUCGAUAUAAGUCAUGGAUGAUCGUUCAUGGAUGUAUCGAGAUUCACCCCAAGGAUUGCGGAGGAUGGAUUAUUGUAAUGGGGUUCAGGGUUUUAUUAAUUUCGUAACAUCUAUUCCCAGAAAUUUUACUAGAGGCGGUAUUAGGUGUCCAUGCCGGAAGUGUGAAAAUAAAAAGUAUCUGCAUCCAGAUGUUGUAAUGAUGCAUCUUCUACACAAAGGGUUUAUGGAGAAUUACCAGUGUUGGUAUGCACAUGGAGAAGUAUUUGUUAGCGAGAGUGAGAGGAGAAUGGAAGAAACGGUGGUUGGGUCUACUUCUAGUGCUAGCAACGUGCAUGAAACGGCAAAUGACAACACUAAUCCUUACAGAAAUAUGGUUAUGGAUGCAAUGAGAAUGAAUCAAGGUAAUGGCAGUCAAUGUCCAAUCGUAGAAGAAGAACCUAAUGUAGAUGCAGCUAGGUUUUUUGAUUUGUUGAAAGAUUCUGACGAACCAUUAUGGGAUGGCUGCACGAACCACAGUAAAUUAUCGGCCGUAGCACAGGUGUUCACCAUCAAGUCAGAUCACGGGUUGAGUGAGGCCGGGUAUGACAAGAUUAUUGAAUGGGCAAGAAGCAUUUUACCUGAAGGGAACAGGCUGAAAGAGAACUUCUAUGCUGCGAAGUCCAUGAUGAAACCCCUCGGUUUAGGAUACCAGAAAAUUGACAUGUGCCCUAACUUCUGCAUGUUAAACUACCUUGAUAAUGCUGAGAUGACCGAGUGCAUGACAUGCGGGCAUUCCCGUUAUAAACCUAGAACUGGCAGGGGAAAGACUCUAGUGGCAUAUAAAAAACUUAGAUACUUCCCGAUCACACCUAGACUGCAGAGGUUAUUCAUGUCACCAAGGACUGCUGAGCACAUGACAUGGCACCAAGCACACCAUGCGGUUGAUGGAGUGAUGGUUCAUCCUUCUGACGGCGAAGCGUGGAAACGCUUUAACAGUGUUCAUCCUCACUUUUCAGCUGAAUCAAGGAAUGUGCGUCUUGGGUUGUGUACAGAUGGAUUCAACCCAUUUGGGUCAUUUGCUGCUCCUUAUUCUUGUUGGCCGGUCAUACUCACAGUUUAUAACUUGCCACCGGGAAUGUGUAUGAGGCCUGAGUUCAUCAUACCCGGUCCAAGAAGCCCGGGGCGGAAUAUAGAUGUUUGUCUUCGACCGUUGAUUGAUGAGUUGGUGCAGUUGUGGUCCUCCGGAGCUCUGACUUAUGAUAUAUCGAGGAAACAAAAUUUCCUUAUGAGGGCGGCAUUGAUGUGGACUAUCAAUGAUUUUCCAGCUUAUGGAAUGCUUUCUGGUUGGAGCACGCUUGGGAAACUCGCAUGUCCAUUCUGCAUGGAAAACAACAAGGCAUUCACGCUAGCAAAUGGAGGUAAAGCAUCUUUUUUUGACUGUCACCGUCGCUUCUUGCCACUUCAUCACAGGUACAGAAAGAACAGAAAAGAUUUUUUUGUUGGCAGAGUUGAAAAAGAUGUUGCAUCCACGCGUCUUUCUGGUGAAGAAUUGCAUGAUGUUGUCUCAGAGUACGGUGACAUUGUGUUUGGCCUUCAAUCAGGAAAGCAAAAGUUUCCUGGUUUUGGUUUGACCCAUAAUUGGGUAAAGCGAAGUAUCUUUUUUGAGCUUCCUUAUUGGAAGACCAAUCUGCUUCGCCAUAACCUUGACGUCAUGCACAUCGAAAAGAACAUGUUUGAGAAUAUUUUCAACACCGUCAUGGAUGUGAAGGGGAAGACAAAGGACAACCUCAAGGCUAGAUUGGAUAUAGCUUUAUACUGUAACCAAAAAAAUAUGGAGUUGGUUUAUGAUGAGUCACGGGUUGCAAAACCAAGAGCAAGCUUCGUGUUGGAGAAAAACGCACAACUGCUAGUCUACAAAUGGCUUAAGAGUCUGCGUUUUCCGGAUGGACAUGCAUCGAACAUAUCAAGGCUGGUUAAUAUAGAGGACUGCAGAUUGUAUGGAAUGAAGAGUCAUGACUGCCACGUGUUUAUGCAAACACUCAUCCCAUUAGCUUUUCGUGAUUUGUUGCCAAAGGGAAUAUGGGAUGCACUCACGGAGAUCAGUCAUUUCUUCAGAGAUAUAUGCUCCAGCAAGUUGAAUGUUGAUCAUAUUGAGAGGCUUCAAACGAAUAUCGUCGAGACACUAUGCAAACUUGAGAUGAUAUUCCCUCCAUCAUUUUUUGACUCAAUGGAGCAUCUCCCUAUACAUCUACCGUUCGAGGCAAAAGCUGGAGGACCGGUCCAAUAUAGAUGGAUGUACCCAUUCGAACGGUUAGAUAUUACAGUUGUAAUGUAAUUCAUAUAUUAAAGUAUUUUAUAUGUUUUUCUUAAUUGAAAAUACUUGAUUAAUAUUUCAAUGCAGGUACUUGUUUAAUCUUAAGAAAAAGGUUAAGAACAAGGCGCAUGUUGAGGCUUCGAUAUGUGAGGCCUAUAUUGUUGAGGAGAUCUCAACAUUUAUCUCGUACUAUUUCGAACCUCAUCUGAGAACGAGAAUCAAUCGCGUUCCACGGCAUGAUGAUGGCGGUGAAGUGCCUUCCAGUGGGAACUUGUCAAUAUUCUCCAAUACUGGAUGACCCACACCUAAAAAUGCCGUAAGAGGAAGAUAUUUGUCGGAAAUAGAGUUCAAACAAGCACACAACUAUGUUCUAUUUAACUGUGAUGAGCUGAGACCUUUUUAUUCAGUAAGUUUAUACUAAUUAAACUUUGUUAGUAAUAUACUGUUAAUUAUAUAUUGUAAUAUCAUACACUCAUUAUCACUUGCAGGCAACAUCGUCAAUUUUUGCUCUCCAAUAACUCACAGCUGACUGAAUCCCAGAUCUUUCAAUUACAAGAUGAGAAGUUUGCCACGUGGUUCAGAACACAUGUAAGCACUAUCACAAACUCAUUAUAACUUGCAAAAUUACUGUACAUAUGCAUGUCAUUACGAGAUUCUCGUUCAUUUACUGUUUAUUGAUGUACAUUACAUGCAAGGUUUAUCAAAUGGGAAGGAGUGCACCUAAGUCAUUGUCUUUACUAAGCCUGGGGCCUGAAAGAAAAUGUAAGUGCUACAACGGGUAUUUUUUCAAUGGAUAUGUUUUCCAUACUGAAGAAUACGGGCAAGGAAGAAAGACAUACAACAGCGGUGUUUGUGUUAAGGGAUCCACUAGUAGUGAGUUAGAAGUUGACUACUAUGGUAGAUUAGAAGAGGUCGUCGAACUGCAAUAUCAUAACGAGCAGAAUAUAGUGUUUUUAUUCAAAUGCUAUUGGUAUGACACGACUGACAGAGGAAUCAGAGUUGAUCCGCACUAUGGUCUGGUCGAAAUCAACUCAAAAGCUAGACUCUGCAACAUAAACGAUGUCUUUGUUUUCGCAAAGCAAUGUCAACAAGUUUAUUACACAUACACCCCUUCAUUUAGAAAGGAUCGAUCAAGAGUGGAUUGGUUGUCCGUUUUAAAAACGAAACCCCGGGGUCGUGUCGAGGUUGUUCAGGAUGAGAACGAAGACACAAGUGUGCGAGAUGAAGUCUUUCAAGUUAGUGAGGUGGUUGAACCAUAUCGAGUUGCUCCUUCGAUUGAAUUGGAAGAAAAUUUUCAAAUUUUCGUGUUUUCGAUGAUAGUCUUGUUGAUGUUGACGCAGAUGAGUUAAAUUUUGUUUUGAGCUCUAGCGGACAACCAAAUAUCGAUGAAGAAGAUGAUAUUCAUAUUGAAGAUUGCGAUGAAGGUGAUGACAAUUCAAUUGAUGACGAAGAAGAAGAAAAUUCAGACUAACUACCAAAAUGAAGCCCUAUGUAAAACCCUUUUUUACAUGUAAUUUAGAUUAUGAAUGAUAUAUAUAUUUUGAAACACAAAAUAUUUAUCACUUGAAAUAAUUAGUUGAAAUGCCACAAUUAUGAUGGAUAAUAUGUUUUGUGACAUGAAAUAAUUAUUUGAAAUGCCACCAGAUCACCGACGGCCACACCGACGGCCUUAAGUCCGUCGGCAUUUCACAGAGAGUUCGAAAAUAAUUACUUAAAAUGCCACCAUAUCACCGACGGCCUUAAGUCCGUCGGCAUUUCACAGAGAGUUCGAAAAUAAUUACUUGAAAUGCCACCCAAUUACAGACGGAAACACCGACGGACUAAUUCCGUCGGUGUUUCACAGAGAGUUCAAAAAUAAUUACUUGAAAUGCCACCCAAUUAUAGACGGAAACACCGACGGAAUUAGUCUGUCGGUGUUUCACAGAGAGUUCGAAAAUAAUUACUUGAAAUGCCACCACAUCACCGACGGACACACCGACGAAUUUAAAUACGUCGGUAAGUUGUCGGUGGUUUAAUUUUACCGACAACAUUACCGACGAACUGCACGAAUUUCAAAGGGUUGCGCAUUAAAUGCGCCUCUGACCGCGUAAUAUUGCCGACGGAAUUACCGACGGACAACGAAAAAUAUGGAGGGUCAUUAAAAAUUUUGGUGCGAAAUUCAAAAUUUGCCAACGGAUUUUUAGCACAUCACCGACGGAAUAAAUUAAAAUAAUAAUUAAUUUUAUAUCCGUCGGUGAAGCCGUCGGUAAAACUGCCAUAUAAGUUCAAGUGACCGCCCGUUCAGUUCAUUUUUUCUUCUCCUUCGUUUCUCACCUUAAGCUUUUGAUUUUUUUCCUCUCUAUUCUUCAAAGCUUUCACCUCCAAUCUCUAGUAAGUUUUCUUCAUCAGUUUAAAAGGUUAGUGUUUUCUCAAUUUCAUUUUACUUUAAUAGUUUUUUUUUGCUAUUUUUUUGGGUAUUGUUUUUUGUUUUGGUGUAUUUUUUGUAAUGUAGAUAAAGUCUAUAGUUUUGUUUUUGCAUAAUUCAUUGCUAAAGUAUAUAGUUUUUUUUUUUGAAUUUUUUGAAUAUUUUUUAUUGUUGUAUUGGCAUAAUUAUUAUUAGUUAAUUUGUUGAAUUUUUAUUGUUAAUGUUGAAUUUACCAUAGAAUUAGUAAUUGAAUAUGUUGGAAUAAUUAUUAAUUUUACUUUAUUAUUGCAUGAUUUGUGUUUAAUUUGUUCCAUUUAUUUUGAUUGUUAUUCCAGAGUUUUUUUUUUUAAUUUAUUGUUUUGUUGUAUUGGCAUAAUUAUUGAAUAAUUACUUGAAUUGUAAUUGUUAAUGUUGAAUUUACCGUAGAAUUAGUAAUUGAAUAUGUUGGAAUAAUUAUUAGUUUUACUCUAUUAUUGCAUGCUUUGUGUUUAAUUUUUUCCAUUUAUUUUGAUUGUUAUUCUAGAGUUUUUUUAUUAUUAUUUUGUUGUAUUGGCAUAAUUAUUGAAUAAUUACUUGAAUUGUAAUUGUUAAUGUUGAAUUUACCGUAGAAUUAGUAAUUGAAUAUGUUGGAAUAAUUAUUAGUUUUACUCUAUUAUUGCAUGCUUUGUGUUUAAUUUUUUCCAUUUAUUUUGAUUGUUAUUCUAGAGUUUUUUUAUUAUUAUUUUGUUGUAUUGGCAUAAUUAUUGAAUAAUUACUUGAAUUGUAAUUGUUAAUGUUGAAUUUACCGUAGAAUUAGUAAUUGAAUAUGUUGGAAUAAUUAUUAGUUUUACUCUAUUAUUGCAUGCUUUGUGUUUAAUUUUUUCCAUUUAUUUUGAUUGUUAUUCUAGAGUUUUUUUUUAUUAUUAUUUUGUUGUAUUGGCAUAAUUAUUGAAUAAUUACUUGAAUUGUAAUUCUUAAUGUUGAAUUUACCUUAGAAUUAGUAAUUGAAUAUGUUGGAAUAAUUAGUAUAGAUUGGGUAAAUUGGUUGUGGCUAUUGUUAAUAUGUGCAGGUUUGUGGUUUUGGGUAGUAUCCGUUAUAGGGGAGGUGCUGUCGAAUUUUUUUUUUACAUUUGAAUUUAAUUAUAUAAUUAUCUGUAUCAAAUUGUGUAGAUGCGUAGAAUGAAAACCAGAGCUGGUCGCUUAGGUGCGGUCGCAGCUAGUUCGUCUAGCAGCGAGGAUGAUAUUUCCUUAGGUGCCUCUCAAGAAGAGGCACCUACACCACCUGCGCCGUCAACCGAUGCUGCCUCUUCCAGCGGUACUUCACAGCGUAGAGGCGGUGUGCCUUCGCAACGGAAUCAAUUUACCCGCAAGUACGAGGCACAGUGAAAGGACGACCUUUCAAUGUAAGUUUGUUAAGGUUUUAGUUUUUUUAAAAAAAAAUUACAACAUAAUUUAUCAAGUAAUCACUAUUGAAUUUAUUUCAUUUAUUUUCAGGUUCACAAACAUUGAAGCCGCCCGAGUAAUAUCAUCGGCGUUUAAAUCGUCGAUGGAGAUUCCAUUGUUUCAAUGGAGUCAGAUAUCCAAGCAUCCUGAAUGGAUGCCUCAAAUCAAUGCAUGGUUUAACAGGUUUGAGGUUGGUAUUAAUUUAUAAUUUUCAGCUUAUUAAUAUAAUUGUAAAUAAAUUAUUAUUUUUAUUUAAACUUGUUUAUUUAUACAAAGCACAAAUUCUGCUGGGACAUUGAGCAUAACGCUGUUGUGAGGAGGGUGUGGGAAAAUCACGCGGCAACUAGGUAAGAUCGAAAACAAUACAGGAUUUUUUAGACAAAAUUUUAUGUUUCGAAAUGUAAUUUUUGGUUGCGUGAAGCAGGUUGCGUGAUUUUUGGUAUGAAGCACAGAAAAAGGCAAAAAAAAACUGCGAGGGAUAGGGGUUUCCAAGGCUGGAACGAUGUUGCGGUUUGGAGGGAUUUCAAACCGAUAUACAUCCCGGAAGAUAUAUGGCCGCACUAUCUUGAGCACGUGACGUCUGAGCGGUUCACACGACGCUCACAGUCCGGUGCUGGCAACCGGAAUCGGCCAAUUCAUGGCGGGGUGACAACUCACACUGGCGGCUCCGUUCCGUUUGCUGCACAUGCGAAACGGAUGGUAAGAUUAAUUUAAAUGAAAUAUAUCGUUAAAUUCAGUUGUUGUUAAUAUAUCUUUUUUCAUUAUAGGCUGCGUCUCUUGGAAGUGAGCCGAGCCCGAUGGAGCUGUUUGUGGAGACGCACGUGCGGAGUCAAGACCGCCAGAAGGGGGCGCAACAGUUCGUUGAUAACCGUGCUCAGUAUUUCGUGGUAUGUUUGUUCAACCAUUUUAUUUUGUAAGUUAUUAUGUAAGUUAUUAUGUUUAUUGUAUUGAAUAUGAUUAUUACUUUUUUUAUUUAUUUUCAGGAGACCUACAAUAAUCGGUUGAGGGAGAGAUACGGGGACGAUACUUUGACCCAUCCGGAAUUCGAUCCGGAUUUGUGGAUGGAGGUUGGCUCGUCAGGUGGACCCGAUAAAAAUCGGGUUUACGGGCUCUCCAACACUACGGCCGACAACUUGCGGUCGACCCGUAGUUUUUCAACCGUUGGGAGCUCCCAAUCAAUAUCGAGCUCCCAAUCUAAGGAGUCUGUGGCUUUGCAGCAACUCACCGAGAAAUACGAUAACCUACAAGCGGAGUACGCACAACUCAAAGCGUCUCAUGCACAACAAAGAGCGGAACAAAUAGCGGAGUCUGAGCAAUUCAAAGCGUCUCAAGCACAACAAAAAGCGGAGUAUGAAGCGGCUCAGGAACAACAAAAAGCGGCUUAUGACCAGCUUUACGAAAUGAUUAUGAAAUUGUCAAAUAGCGGAACAUGUGCGCCUAAUCCUUUUUGGUCGUAUAACCACCAGCCUCCGCCAGGAUCUCCUCCUCCUCCUCAAGCUCCAUCAUCUUUAUAUUAAUUUGUAAUCAACAUUAUUUACCUUUAAAACUUCAUUUAUUAUUUUUCUUGAAACAUAUUCAGUUUGUAAUGAAUAUUAUUUAACUUUGUUUUUUUUUAUGUUUAAUAAAAAUUUUAUUUGCAUAAUUGGUUUGUAUAACAAUUAAUUUAUAUAGUUUUAUAUUAUAUAUCCUAAAUAAUUUUUUAAAAACAAAUUAAGAAAAAAACUAUUACCAAGGAUUUCACCGACGGAUGAAUUCGGUCGGUAUUUUAAACUUUCACCGACAGAAUUACCGACGAAAUUAAUCCGUCACCAUUUAACAGUAGCUUCUACCAUUACCGACGAAGUUACAAACGGAAAUAUUCCGUCGGUAUUUCAUACAUUCACCGACCGAUUUAACGACGGAUAUUUUCCGUCGGUAAUUGUAACUUCACCGACGGAAUGAAAAUCCGUCGGUAUAUUUCAAGCGGGAAUCUUUUUUUUUUUGGCGAGCACGUUCCGUCUGUAAAACCAUCGGUAAAUGUUUUUUUUGUUUUUCCGACUGAUAUACUGACGGAAUGGGGAAUCACCGACGAAGGUAAAGCCGGCGGAAGUAUUCCGUCGGUGAUAACGUCGGUAAAAAAAUCACCGACGAACUUCUAAUCACAGACCGACGGAAUUUUUCCGUCGGUAAAACUGUGAAAUCUUGUAGUUUAGAUCGAGGUCCUUAAGUGUGGUUGUUUCAUCAAUUUCACCCUCAAGCUUGUCAAAUGGGUAUACCUUUUUUCUCUAAGAUUCACUUGCACACAUUUAUGGAGUCAUUAUACUUUACAUUUUUCAAUGUGAAACAAUAAAAUACUUAAUUGACUCGCUAUCAAGGACUUGCUUUUGUCUGUGAGCAGGCAUGAAGCAAAAUUUAUCAAAGAGAUUAUCAAGGAUGUGUUGAAUAAAUUAGAUCCCAAGCAAGGGCGGAGGCAUGUCAAAGGCAUGGGUACCCUAUAGCCCAGGUUAAGAUUUUAUCAAUAUUUUUUUACUAGUUUUAUGUAAAACAAAUUCGUAAUUCUUGAUUGAGUUAUCAUAAAAUUCUGAAAAUUUGUGUGUAGCCUUCUAGUAUGAUGCUUUAACUUGGGUUAAAAUUUCAGAAGUUUUGAAAAAAUUCAGAAAUUUGAUGAAAAAUCACAAUUUGACCAGUUUUACAUUAUUGGAUGUAAUUUUCAAUCCGAUCAUCAGAUUGAGCUGAAAUUUUAUGAGAAAUCUUAAAAUAUAUUGAAUAAAAUCUGGUUAAAAUUUUAGGAUGAAUAGAGCUUGGUAGUGCUAAGAAAAAAAAAGACCGUCAAAUAAAAGCAAAACAACUCAUUAAGGGUAAAAUGGUUACUUGCCAUUAAAAAAUAAAACAAAUCAGCUAUUCCUUCCUUUUAUAUGUUGCCGACUGGGCAAAAGCAGAAUAGGAAAAGAAAGAAAAGAAAAGGCGAGAGAGAAAGAGAGAAAAGUAAGGGAAAACAUAAAAAACAAUUCAAGGAAAAAAAUUAAAAAAAGUGAGAGAAUAACCUUGUAAACUUACAAAGUCCAACUUAUAAAACACUAAUCUAAGAAAGAAUCAAGUGAAGGAAGGAGGAAUUGAGAGAGAGAAAAAAUUUAAUUACUUUUUUUUCUAGUUGACAUGAGAUUGUUAUUUUAUUCGGGUUGAGAGGUUGUUAUAAUAUCGAUUCAAAUUCGAAUAUAGAUAAAUUAUAUUUCACAAAACAUUGAAGGAUGUAACUUCAAUAGUGGGUUUAUUUUUACUUUCACUUCAAUUUUAUGUACUUUGAAAUUUAUUUUUAAUAUUUUAAGUAGUGUAUUUGAAUUAAAACUUUACUGUUAAUUUUAAAAAUUCAUGUAUAUGAAUUAAUAAUUUAUUUUAAAAAAAAAUUAUAUAUUUAUUUAAUAGCCUAAAAAUUCCUGACUCCGCCCUUGAUACCAAGUACUUAUAUGUUCCUGAGCACCUAGUAGGUAUGGAUCGGCUUGCUCACAAUAUUUUUGACUUUCUAAGAACAUGUUUGGGAACGUCGUGCAAACCGCGUUUCCAAAAAAUUUAAUUUUUUUUUUGCUAAAAUUUAAUAUGAUUUGUACGUUUUGGAUUGUUUUGAUAUGCUGAUGUCAAAAAUAAUUUUUAAAAAAUAAAAAAAAUCAUUAGCAUGCAUUUCGGCACAAAAAGUUAUUUGAAAAGCAACCGCUACCACACUGUCAAGCACCCUCUAAGUACUGCAACAGAUGAUGUACGCAUUGUGGGCAAACAUGGGAUGCCAGGAAUAGGAAAGACGACUAUAGCAAAAUUUGUAUUUAAUCAACUCUGCUAUGGAUUCGACGAAAGCUGUUUUCUUUCUAAUAUCAAUGAAACACCAAAACAAUUUAAUGGUCUUGUUCCUUUACAAAAGCAACUUCUUCACGAUAUUUUCACACAGGAUGCUGCAAACAUCAAUUGUCAUGAUAGAGGAAAGGUUAUGAUCAAAGAACGACUUCGUCACAAAAGAGUUCUUGUUGUUGCUGAUGAUGUGGCUCCUCAAGACCAGCUAAAAGCUUUGAUGGGAGAGCGAAGUUGGUUUGGUCCCGGAAGUAGAGUCAUUAUUACAACAAGAGAUUCAAAUCUUCUUCAUAAAGCAAUGUUAGAGAAUAAUAUAAAUCAUAUCCUGGGAUCUCACCUAACAGCUUAAGCUUUUGGGUUGAGAUGGUUCUUUGACAUGAUAUCAGAGUCUUGAUGACCAAGUGGUCACGAGUUCGAAUCUCACCAACCCAUUUAUUUGAUAAAAAUUAAGCACAAGGUAAUAUGGAUUUGUGCAAGUUUCAAGCCCAAAGGGCUUUCACUUGAGGGGUGUGCUAGAGAAUAAUAUAAAUCAUAUCCUGGGACCUCACUUAACAGCUUAAGUAUUGGGUUAAAAUGAUUCUUUAACAGCAGAUCAAACAUAUCGGAUCAAAGAAUUGACAUGAGAUCAAUCCCUUCGGCUUUUCAGCUGGCAUGCCUUUAAGGACACCAAGCUAGAAGAAGAUUAUAUUGAGCUUUCGAAGGAUGCAGUUGAUUACUGUGGAGGACUUCCUUUAGCUCUUGAGGUUAUAGGAGCUUGUCUGUACGGGAAAAACAAAGAUAGAUGGAAAAAUGAAAUUUACAACUUGAGCAGAAUUCCAGAAAACAAUAUUCAAGGAAAGCUUCUAAUAAGUUUUGACGCACUGGAUGGUGAACUACAAAAUGCGUUCCUUGAUAUUGCAUGCUUCUUUACUGAUAUAGAGAAAGAAUACGUCGCAAAAGUGCAUUAUUUGAUAUUGCAUGCUUCUUUAUUGGUAUAGAGAAAGAAUACGUCUACAAUCCAGAAGUUGUUUUGGAAACUCUCCGUGAAAGGUCUCUGAUUAAAGUAUUUAGAGGGAUAGUAACCAUGCAUGAUCUAUUUUUUUAUAUAUAGUAAACGAGAGAAUUAUAUAUUAUAAGCAGCCCUAUCAAGUAGGUGGAGCUGAAAGAGAGAUAGAAUACGAUGGGAAUAUAAAAGAAAAGAAAAGACCAAAGCAAUGAGGGACCUAAUUAGUUAGUCCAGUUCAUAAUAUAUUCAGAAUUUCUAAAAAGAUCUGAGCCUGUAUAGCUAAAAUUUCUAACUGAGGACUUCAACCAGAAGGCCAAACGGUGAAAAGUGAGAUAAAAAAUCAUAUCCCAAUCCAGAGCCUUGGAUUUGAAGAUUAAGCGGUUGCGCGCUAUCCAAAUUGACCAGUAUAGACCUUUACAGAGAAGGGUAAUAGCACGUCGCUGAAAUUUCCAUUGAUCAAGCCAGACCAUUCCUGUAGAUUUUGAUUUGGGUCUUUGUGCAGAUAGCCUGAGCACCCGAACCAGUUCAAGAAACAACCCAAAAGAGACCAUGUUAUAGGACACCAAUGGAAAAGAUGAUUAAUUGUCUCAGUUUCCUUGCAGCAGAAUGGACAAUGAGAUUCCUCAUAAUUAAUGAUUCUCCUCUCAGCUAAAAAGCUUCUUGUACUCAGACUGCCAUAAAGAAGAAGCCAUAUGAACACAUCCACUUUUGGUGGGGCAUAACCAUUCCAUAGCAGAACAGGGGAGUGAUUAUUUUCAGUGGCCGAUAGACUAUUAAAGAAGAGGCAACCUAAUUGAACUGAGUACAUGCCAGAGCUGUGGAAUUUUCAUAACUUGUCGUCUGCACCCUCUGAGAAAACGAGACAACACUGCACCUCUACAAUCAAGCUCUCCCUCAUGCAGUUCUCACGGGGCCGGAGGAGUCUUCUCCAGGUUGAGAGAUGUAUCUGUCAAAUUAUAUAUAUCUGCAAGGCUGGUUUUUUGCUGGAGGGAAAGGUUAUAAAGUCUGGGGUAUAAGAGCUAGAGAGUGGUUGCAGAGCCAAGCCAAGAGUCGGUCCAAAACCAAAUGUUCCUCUCGUCACCCACCUUGAACCUGACAUUUGCAUGUAAGAGAUUGGCUAUGUUUUGUGUUGAAAAGUUCGUCAAAACAAUGCCAUGCCAAGUUGGAGAUAAAGAACCUGUAAACGCAGGGAUACCAUUCAUAAAGUGAGGUCGGUAUUUUAGAAGAAUGUGUUCUUGCCAGCCUCCUGCCACUCCCUUAUCUAGAUUCCAUAGCCAUUUAAAUAGUAGAGCCAAAUUUUUGUUGUAUAUGGAUCCCAGCCCGAGACCACCAAAAGAUUUACUCUUUAUUACUCUGUGCCAAGCCACCUUAAAAAUGCCAUGAGAUGUUGAGGUUCCCUUCCAGAGAAAAGACCGGGUUAGAGAAGAGAUGACUUUAAUAAUAUGCUUUGGCAUAGCAAAAACAGACAUGUAUAACAAAGGAAGAGAGCUCAAGACUGAUUUAAUUAGACAUGUCAUUCCCGCCAUUCUAAAAAAAUUCCCUUUCCAUGUGCUUAGCUUUGCUCUGAUUGUGGACAACAGUGGUUUCCAAGUAGAGAGUCUGCUGGGAUUGGCUCCAAGAGGUAGUCCAAGGUACCUAACCGGGAAAGUAUCACUACGACAGAAAACUGAGUUCGCCAGGCUAGAGGUGUAGUCAUUGUCCAAGUUGAUACCUAUUAGUGAGCUUUUAUAGAAAUUAACUUUCAGUUCAGAAAUGAUAUCAAACCAACGAAGAAUCCUCUUGGCAUGUAGAAGAGAGGGAAAAUCAUUUGGCAGGAAAAUCAGAGAGUCAUCGGCAUAUUGUAAAUGAGUUAUAUAAUGUCCUGGAGCAGUCUGUAAGCCUUUGAAGUAACCUGAAGCGGAUGCCCUAUUGAAUAAAACUGUCAACCCCUGAACUGCGAUGUCAAAUAGGAAAGGAGAGAGAGGGUCCCCUUGCCUGAGACCCCUCUUCAGACUAAAUUCUCUACUGGGGGAACUGUUUAUCAAGAUGGCUAAUUUAGAAGUGGAUAAGCAUUCAAAGAUCAGCUUCCUCCAGGGUGAGCCAAAACCCAUGUAUCCGAUGCUUGUGUCAAUAUGUUCCCACAAAAUUGAGUCAAAGGCUUUAUGGAAAUAUACCUUCAGUAAAAGGCCAUGCUCCUUCUUGCUACGCACACCAUAGACAACCUCAUUUACUAUCAUGAACUUGUCUAAAAUCUGACGCCUAGCAAUGAAUGCAGACUGGUUAACACUGAUUACAUCUAUCAGGACACAUCGAAGCCUAGAGGACAGUAGCUUUGCCACUAUUUUAUAUAACCCGUAAAUCAAGCUUAUCGAACAAAAAUGGGAGAAUCUGCUCGGCCCCUUUGUUUUUAGAAUCAGAGUUACAAAAGAAGAGCUGAUACCCUUUGGUAGUUUACUAGUUCUGAAAAAAAAAUUUAACCAGCAUAAAAACCUCUGAGCUGAUGAUAUUCCAUACCUUUUUAUAGAAGGAGAAGGUGAAACCAUCGGGGCCAAGGGCUUUGGAACCAUCACAGUCCCAUAUAGCUUGCUUCACUUCUUCCAUUGAAGGUGGUCUUUCUAGCGAAAUUGACUUGGCUUCUGAAAUUUUGGAGAGCCUCCCAUUUCAAUUCUUUUACACGUUGGUUUGCGAAACAAGGAUGAGAAGAAGUUGACAGCGCCUUUUUUGAUAUCAUUUGAGGAGACUAGGUGACUGCCAUUAUGUUCAAUCUUACUAAUGUAGUAACGGCCUUUCCUUAGACUUGCUGAUAUGUGAAAAAAAACAAGUGUUCUUAUCCCCCAUUUUACACGAGUUUUGACGAGAUUUUUGCCUCCAGAUAUCUUCAACCCUUCUGUUAACCUCCCAUAGUUCAGAGUUCAGCUCCUGGAACUUUGUUUUUUCGGUCUUAGACAAGGGACGCACUUCGCUUAAGUUUUCAAGUGUUGUAAUGGAGUUCUGGAUGUCUGCAAGUUUUAGAUUCUGAUCCCUGAAAGUGAAUUUAUUCCACUGUUCUUUAAUCAUUGGGCAAGUCACCCAAAACAAUUUGAUCAUUUCAAAAAAAAAAAGUGGGUCGUCUUCCAAAUGACUUGUUUCUUGAUUUCAACAUCUCUCUCUCUCUUGUUUUUGAAGUUUUCAAAGACUAAAAAAAAACAAAAGUUCGUUUUGUAGCUACUUUUCUUUAUAAAUUUAAUACGCAAAGCCAAGAGAAAACAAAAUUUUCUAAUAUCUUUGCAUAGUAAAUAUUAUAACCCAAUUUUUUACCCUUUUAUUUUAAUUAUUAAUAUUACUAUUAUUAUUAUUAUUUACUGAAAAAAUGAAAAAAAAUGAAAAAAUGAUGAUGAAAAACAAAUAAAAAUGAAAUAAAUGAAGAAUGAAUUAAAAUUUGGGGUUAACGGCAACAUGAUUGGAAGUUUUGGGGUUUAAUUAAACUUUGGAUUAGUUUUAUUGACAAAAUCAAGAGCUUAAUUGAUGAAUUGAUAAGUUUGGGACUUAAUUGGACUUGGAUUUAAUUUAAUUAAUGAAAUCAGAGACUUAAUUGAGAAAUACCAAAGUUUGGGGUUAAUUGGGGGGGACCAUUGCAACAGAUUAAAGUCCAAGGACUAACUUGUAAAAGACGCCGAAAUGCAGGGGUCCAAUUACAAUUUAACUAGGGGUUUAAUUACAAAACUUUCAAAACUUCAAGUGCCAAAAUGCAUAUAGCUGUGAAUACCAAAACGGCACCGUUUCCAGUUGCUGUUCAUCUUCCUCACCUGACCGAAACAGACGCCCACCGCCUAACAGCCAUUACUUCUGCAAUUAUCACACUUUAUGGUUGGAAGAAACGGCAUUGUUUUCUCUGGCUAUAAAAGCCAAAGAACGACUGAGCAGAGGCGGGGGGGCGAGCGAAAAAAAAACCGGGAGGAGAAUAUCAAGAGAGAGGAGAAAAAAAAGCCAGAAUCAAGGGAGGGGAAAAGGAAACAGAGGUCGAAACCCAGGGGAGAGCAAGAAAAAAACACAAACAAAAAAAGAAGAACAACACAGAAAAAGACCAUUAACACCCAGCAUCACCAUCGGCUUCCUCUUCUCCAGCGCCAGAAGAAAUAAGGCCAGAAGAACGCAAGGAAAGGGUGCCCUGCCAAGCUGUUACGAUUCAAGUUACCAUAGAAUUAAGGUUACUAGCUUACAAAUAAAGAAGUACUGUUUCCAGUACAGAACAGAAUUGCUAGCCUUCAAGCAAAGAAUUGCAGCAUCUGCUGAAUGUGGAAAACGUUAUGCCUUCACCACCGCUGUAUCAUCUGCUUCCUCAUCUCCAUUAUGGUUCAAUUACAGCAUCUAUACCUAAGCAAUGGAGUGACUUUUUAUUUGCGAAGCUGCAAGAACAUUGCCUCAAUUUAUGGAUUUUUUGUAAGAAUACAUAUUUCCUUUAGUUAUUUCUAUUUUAUUAAAUAGUAUCUUUAAUUAUUUUAUUAUUAUUAUUUAAUAUAAAAAUUAAAUAUCAUCUUUAAUAAAAAAAAUAUUAAAUAUUUAAUGCUUUUUGGUAAGAAUACAUAUUUCCUUUAGUUAUUUCUAUUUUAUUCUAUUUAAUUUAAGAGAUUAAAUAUCAUCUUUAAUUAUUACAUUUUUCUUAUUUAAUUUAAAAAAUUAAAUAUUAUCUUUAACAAUAUUUUUUAUUAAAUAUUUAGAUUAUGCUUGGUUUUAUUUUUUUUUCUUGAUUUUAUGAUAAUAGUUUUCUUAUUUAAUAUAAAAAAUAAAUAUUAUCUUUAAUAAUUAGAUCUAUCGAAUAUCACUUAAAAAAUAAAUUAUAACUUUAAUAAUUAUUUUUUGAAAAACAAAAAGCCAACAGUCACUAACAUAUUUUAUUAAAAUCACUUUAGUUAUUUAGAAAAUAUUGAAAAUUGAUUUUUGUUGUUUUACAUUAAAAUAAAAAAAAUUGAAUAAUGUUUUUAUAUUUUAUUUCAAACUCAUAUUUUAAAACAAAAAUGAAAAAUAUGUGAUAUUAACCUUUUUUAUUAUAAAGUAAGCUUUUCAAUUAAAAGUGAUGGGAAUUUUUUCGUGAUAACAAAAUGCAUGUACAAUCAUGCACAUUUAAUUAAAAGUGAUGGGAAGUUCUAUUGAAUUUGAUGGUUUUUUAAGGUACAGAAGACUUGGAUUGACGUGAGAGUACAAGAUCAUUUUACAUAGAGAUGCUUGAAGUUGCUCCAAAUCAGUAUGAUACUUCCAUCUGACAUGUAUUUGUUGGCUUGAAGAUCAUUUUCCAAGCUUGGAAGUUUUAUUCAAUGCUCUUUGAAAUCUUUUCCAUCCGCUUUUAUAUUGGACAACCUCGUUGUUAAUUAUUAUCCAUGAUGUAAUUUAUAUUUUCAAGUUACAAAUUUUGAUGAAUAUUGUUUUAUUUUUUUCCUCACUUCAAAAGAUGAAAAUCCUUGAUGUUAGUUAGAAAUAAAUUGGUUUUCUAGGAAGAGAUUAUUGAUUGGGAUAUAGUGUUUAAGUUGGUUCUUCAUCAUUUAAUGUUAUAAUUUAAAAUAAUUGAUGAAAAUUACUGAUACACAGGAAAGUUCUGAGAGCAUCUUCUUUUUUUUUUUUUUUUUUUUUUUUUUUUUUUUUGAUUCACGUGGGGUGUCCGGGCCAGCUUGCGCGCACCACGACUAUUCCCCACGGCCCACUGGACAUCCUGCAAGCCCAGGGGCAGGUAAGGCACCGCGGGGGUGACAGGCGUGCACAUAGAGGGUCGAACCCGGGACGGGGGCGGAACAAGUCACACGGUUGACCACAGCAGCUAGGCCAUCAAGUGCGAGAGCAUCUUUAAUUAGUCUAAUAAGUGAAGUGUUGUUAGUUUUGACUAUAAUAUCUAAUUCAGCUUGGAUAUCAACAACAUGUUGCAUCCAGUCUUAUAGCCAAUGUUUUUUUUCUUGGUCCUUGAAACUUUUACCUAUUUUCGUUUUGGUCACAAAACUAUAUUUUUCUUCAUUUACAUCCUUGAAAGUUGUAUUAACAUGGUUCCAUUUGUUGUUAUUUACUUCGAUUUUCAUGUUCUCGCAUUUAUCAUAUGUCUUUAAAUAUCCCUGCAUUGAAUUAGAAAUCAAUUUUUUUAACCCUCCUAACCCAGUUACUAUUAAGGUUAGUUCUCCACCCGCAUGUUCUUCCUUCUCAAGCGUGGCAUCGGUCUUUAGCUACACUUACUUAGUCCCUGUUAUUUAUAAAGCUUAUAAUUUAGUUCAAGUCAAUAAAAGCUUAGCAGUUUGAUACAAAAGCUCAUGGUCAAGUUAAAAAUGUUUAUUUUGGAUGUAAUAAAUAUUCAUAUUGGAACAUAAUAUUCAUCUCUCAAAUCCAUAAUCCAAUUGAUCAUAUAAAUAAUUGUUUUAAUUAAUAACUAUAAGAAAUAAAACCCCUUACUAGUUGAUUACUUAAAUAAAAAAACUAAUGAUUGUCGAGCAAAGUAAAUAAAUUACUUAACCAGGGUUAUGAUAGGAGUUAUUUGCCAAGAUUGAAUUACAUAUAUAACAGUUUAUAAAUCAUGUUAUAAUAUCUAUCAACAUAUAUAAAACUCGACAAGAUAGAAGACUUUGUUUAAUCAAUCUUAGGUUAAGACAAGAUUAAAUCUAGUUUUAUUAUGAUAUAUUUUAGAGUGCGGUUGAAUUGCACUUCUUAAAAUAUUUUUGAAUUGUUCUGAUAUCAAAAAAUAUUUUUGAAUUGUUGAUUUGAGUUGAUUCUUUAUCAUGUUAUGAUUUAAGAUAAUUAAUGAAAACUAAUAAUACAUAGGAAAUUUUUGAAAGCAUCCUUAAUUAGUUUAAUAAGUAAAAUCUUGUUAGUUUUGGCUAUAAGAUCUUGCGAUGUAUUUAUUGCAUGGUUUUUACUAUUUUUAGUUUUUUAUAUAUAUAUAUAUACAACUUUUGUUUUUCUUGCCAGUUUGUCAUUAGCUUUAUGACACUAGCACCAAUUACUAAUAAAUCUAGGGCUAUUAUUAAAUAAAGAAAAAACAUAAACAUUAUUAAAACACCAAACUUGCAUAGUUACCUAGGGAAACCAUAUGACAAUAAUCUAAUUUAGAAAAUAAUUAAUUUGUCCUUGUAGUCUUAGAAAAUAGUCUUUAAUCCUUGUGUUUUCAUAUUCAUUAAUUAUCUAAUGUGUUUCAUCUAUGAUUUAAUGUGUUGAUUGAAAUUGACAAGUGAGUUUACUCAUAUUUUUUAAAACAUGUUUUUUAAAUUAGAAAAUAUCUAAUUGAAAUGAAGAUUAAAAUAAAGAAGACCAAAAAGAGAAAGACUCGUAAAGAUUUUAUGUUAGUGCUCAACAUGUUCUUGGAUUACCUUUGUCUUUCGUGUCAAGUAAAAUUCUAGUAUAUAACACUAAAUUAAGAAAAACAAGAGGUGAAUUAAAGGUCUAACUAAAUGAAAUACAAGUACAAAGACUACAUCAACAUUUGAUAUACUCAACUCUCAACAAAUUGAAAUUUCAAGGUUAUUCGUAUCUGAAAACACAAUCUCAAUAAUCUUAAUGUGAGGAGUGAUUUCUUUCCUAUUAUUUUUUUCUGUGUUUUAAAAAUAUUUUAAAAAAAUUAAAUUUUUUUUCUUCAAAUUAAAUUUUUUUUUAUAUUUUCAAAUAUUUUGAUAUACUGAUAAAAAAUAAUUUUUAAAAAAUAAAAUAUAUUAUUUUAAUAAAUUUCCGAUUAAAACAUAUUUUAAAAAAACCAAUAUAACAUUUUCAAACACCUCCAAAAAAUCUGAAAAACUUGCUACCACCACUCAUAAUUCAUCCCCAGCAGGCAUAUUGAUUCUGUUAAAAAUGAACCUAUUCAGCUUAGGCAUCAACAACAUGUUGCAUCCACAGUCUGUUAAGAAAUCUAUUAUAGCUCCUUUGUUGUUUUACUGCUCAUGUCACUGCUCAUAGCCAGUGUUUUAUUUCUUGGUCCUUGAAAUAUUCACCUAUAUUUUUUGGUUUUGGUCAUCAAAUUUUUUUUUUUCAAUUACAUCCUUGCAAGUUCUAUUAGCAUGGUCGAUAACACACUCAUAGCAGUUCGAUACAAUGGCUCAUUGUUGAGCAAAGUAAAUAAAUUACUUAACCAGGGUUACCAAAGGAGUUAUUUGCCAAGAUUGAAUUACAUAACAGUUUAUAAAUUUAGUUUUACGGUGUUUUUAAAAGUACAGAUUGAUAUCAAUAUGAUAUGUCAAUGUCGAAAAUAAAUUUUUUAAAAAUAUUAUUUUAAUAUAUUUUCAAUCAAAAAUGUAUUUUGAGAAGCAAUUUCAACCACGCUACCAAUUAGAUUAAAAAUUUUCUAAUAUAUGGAUUGAUAUCUAUCACACAUGGACAUCACGGCGCCCUUAAAAUUUUUUAUGGAAAGAAUGGAUUUCUGACAUCCUGUUUUUUUAUGGAAAAUGUCUUGUUUUAAGGAGUCGCCACCUAGUAUUAUGGUCACUACAAACCUUAACUGGUCAACAGAGAUUCUAUGGUUCGGGGUUGGUUACGUAAAAGGGAAGAUAUUAUCACCCCUUAAACGCCCUGCCUGAGGCAGACUACAUUACUGACUUUGUCUUAAAUUGCUAAGCGUUUUAUUAGUUUAUGCCAUGAUAAUUUGCUUAUAAUAUUCCUGACUCUAGCGCUAGUAAAUAUUCAACUACGGAUACUUCCAACUCUUGCGUUGGUAAAUAUUAUGUAGCUAUAAAAUAAAUUUAGAUCAAUAUUUUUAUUUAUGACUCUAGCAUCAAUGAAUAAAGAAAUAAAAUAAAUUUAUUUUUACGCAUGCACAUAUUUUUUAUUUUUUAGCUAAAUAAAAUAAAAAUACAAUAAAAUAAAAACAAAUUUUAAUCAGUAUUUUUAUUCUUGACUCUGGCAUCAAUGAAUAAACCAAUAAAAUAAAUUUAUAUUAUUUUUAUUCAUGCAUACAUAUUUUUUUUAUUUUUUUAUUUUUUUAAUUUUUGGACUGGUCCAGCUCAGCUUAUGUGAGCUAGCCAGCCCGGCCUAGACACUGGCCCAAGCCUCUUUCUUGCUUGGUCUUCCUCUCCUCGACCAGCCUGGUCUGCUGGAGGAAAGUAAGUGAAAUGAAUUUGAAAAGUGGGGAAGAGGAAGAACUUACCUGGUCUGCUGGAGGCGAAGGCGCGCGGUUGUUGAUCGACCAGCCUCUUUCUUGCUUUCCCUUCCUCUAGUCUUUUCUUUCUUGUUCUCUAGCUCUUCUCCGUGUUUGUUUGCCUGGCUUGCUCUCUGAUUUAGGAGACGGAGGCGUGAUGGAUGACCGGCCAAAGCUCUGCUUCGGUUCCUUUGUACGCUCCUGUGUCGUCCUCUUGUUCUUCCUCUGUUUUUUGUUCUUUUUCGUUCGUCCCCCUGUUCUUCGUGAAUUGUUCUGGGUUUUUUCUUGCUGGUUCUCGGCUCCCCUGUAUGUGUUUCCAGUGUCUUCGUUCUCCUAUUUCUGGGUUUCUCCUCUUUUGCUGGUUCUGCCUUUUUUUUCUCCCCCUCUCUGUUUUAUGUUUGUGGUCUUCCCUGUUUCCCCAGUCCAGUGCCUCCCCUAUUUUCUUCUUUUUUUGUUUUCUUCUUCCUCUACUCGGUUCUGCUCUUUUUUCUCCAAUUCUCUCCUGUGACCUUUCGUUCUCUGCCUUUUAUAGCUAGAGAACAAUGCUGUUUCUUCCAACCAUUGAUUGCAGGUGUAAUGGUGGCGGUGGGCGUCCAUUGAAGAAGAUGAACAACACAUCCCCACAGACGGCGCCAUUUUGAUGUUAAUGAUUAUUUGCAUUUUGGCCCUGAUUAAAAGUUUUGUAAUUAAGCCCCCUAGUUAAAUUAUAAUUGGACCCCUGCAUUUCGGAGCAUUUUAUAAGUUAGUUCUUUGACUUUAAUCUGUUGCAAUUGUGCUCCCAAUUAACCCCAAACUUUGAUAUUUCUUCAAUUAAGUCUCUGAUUUCAUUAAUUAAAUUAAUUCCAAGCUCAAUUAAGUCUCAAAACUUAUCAAUUCUCUAAUUAAGCCCUUGAUUUGAUUAAUUAAACUAGUCAAGAGUUUAAUUAAAUCUUUAAACUUCUAAUCAUGUUGUCAUUAACCCAAAUUUUAAUUCAUUCUUUAUUUUUUUUUAUUUUUACUUGUUUUUCAUCAUUUUGUUUUAUCAUUUUCAGUAAAUAAAAUAAUAAUAAUAAUUAAAAUAAAUAGAUCAAAAAUUGAAUUAUGAGAAUAUCCAUGACACUCUCUAGUUAGUUUUGAGAAUUUUAAAUCCAAACAAGUGAAUUUAUAUGCAUGCUUGUACAGCUUGAUUUUCUCUUUAAUUUAAUCAACAAUAAUUUCUUAUCUUCAAUAUAGAUUUGGGUUUAUCAUUCGGGUAAGACAAACCCUAGUAUUUUAAAAUACUAUGGCAAAAAGGUUUCAUGGAUCAAGACAAUAGUAUCAUUCAAAUGUUAGCAAUAGAAUAAAUUUUACAUAUUUUUCAAGUUUACGUAGAAUAGUAGUGGAAUAAUUCUUUUAAUAUUUAAAAAUUAAAAUAUAUUAUGUAACUGUUUUGUAUAAAUUCUACACUAAAGUUAGCAAAUAAUAACACAAGAAAGGACCAAAGUUAAUUACAAUAAUUUUAUUUUUUUUAAAUGGAGCCACAGUACGAGGAAAUCUCUUCACUUAUCAAUGAAAUAUUACUUCUCCUGUAAAUGAAUAGAAAUAAUUUCAUUGAUUAAUGAUUAUUUGGAAGAAGAAAGCGUAUCCCUUCUCACUUUUACUAUUCAGCUUGCUGCAAUUUCAGAGCUUCUCACAAAUGGUGGGAUCCAACCAAUUUCAUAACUCAUGUUGCAUCCUUAGUCUUACAGAUAAAGCUAAUGGUUUUUUUUUCUUUCUAAAUUGAAUAUCAAUAUUUUUUGUUGGCAUCAAAUAAUUUAAAAUAAGAAUUACAUAGCAGAGGGUUUAAGCAAAUAUUAAAAGAGAAGGUUUUGUGUAAUUAUUAGAUAAUUGAAAUCAUCACUAAUCUCCUUUUUUUCAUUUUAUUUUUUAUUACCCUUAGCAUGAUAUCCAGAGAGAAGAACGGUUCAAGACAGAACAAUAAUGGAGCGGAAUCAAAAUCUUUGUUAGCAGUAACCUGUUCGACCCAGUUGUUGUGGAAACUUUGCAAAGGAUCUGCAGGAAGAAAAAUGAAAUUUGGUAGUAUUUGUGUGUCUUAUAUAAUUGUGUUCGUUCAUACACCCAAUUAUUUCAUACAAGAGAAAAUUCUUUCUCUGAAUAGAAAAAACUAUUAUUUUUAAAAUAAAAACAACUAAAUAGAAAAAUUAUUAUUUUUAAAUAGAAAAACUAGAAACGCCUGAUAAUAUUGAAUAAAAAAUAAAAUAGAAAAAUUAUUCUUUUCAAGUAGAAAAAAUUAUAAAAAUUUAAUAAUAGUGAAUAGAAAUAAAUAUAUUUAUUAUCCCAAAAGUUCUUACAUCAAAAUCUCAUUUAUCAUAUUUUAUAUAUAUCUAUAAAAAAAACUAAUUUGUCACAAGAACUGAGUCUAUGUGCUAAAACCAGAAAAACAAAUGUAUAAAAAAAAACAAAUUCCACGCAAGGCUUUGAUUAACAGAGUAACCGAUGGACAUUUUUUAGUAAAUUAAUUUCAAUUCAAAAUGACAAAAUAAGGUUUGUCGGUUUUCAUACAUAAAUUUUUAUAUUGUUAACGUAGGAACUGUUUUGCGUCCCUGACUUGGCGGAUUUGAUUUGAAUAUAUUAUUUGAUUAGUCUAUUCCUGCCUUGCAUUGACUGGAAAUAAGAUUUGAAUAUAUUAUUUAAUUUACACAGGAAAUUUCUACUUGCAAAGAAUUGAACUGUCAUUGACUUCUUGCAAAGUAUUCGCAAGAAAGGCAGACAAGUGUGUCCACUACUUCUGCAAAUGAAUAGAAAGCAUAUCAUUUCUCUUUCUCCUAUUAAAGAAUACAAUUACAAACCUCAAUUCAAUAUCCAUGCUUUACUCGGCAGCUAACUUCUCAUUACCAUUGCUGCCAUUUCAUAGCUAACUCUUUGUUAUAUUUAACUUACUCUUCUUUGCUUCUCUCUCGUUUUAAUUUCAUGUCUUGCUCAUAACGACAAUUUGAAAGCCUUACGUUCAGAUAGAUAAUCAUUGAUCAGUUCCUCCUAUAUCAUUCUAUUUAAUUUAGAAAUGCAGAAGGAAAAACGCAAGCAAUCCAAAGAUGAAGAAAACGAUUCAUCCUCGCGAAAGAGAAGAAAAGCUGACCUCAGUAAGCCUGUCAGUUUUGUCUCCACAGGUAAGGCUGAUGCGUGUGUCUAUAUAUAUAUGUGUAGGAACUGCUGAUUCGAUUUGAAUAUGUUAUUUGAUUAGUCUGAUCAUAGGAUAGGUUGAGUCUACUACUACUUCUGCCUUGCAUUGACUCGAAAUUCCUGGUGUUUUCUCCUGCAAAUGAAUAGAAAUCACAUCCUUUCUCCUUGUAGGAACUCUUUGUUAUAUUGUUCCAUUGGUAAUUGAUAGUGCCUUAAGUUCUGCAGCUGCCAUGACAGAGCCAGAAUCUUCUCGAUCUAGACCAGAAGGGGCCUAUGAUGUCUUCUUGAGUUUUAGAGGAGAAGACACUCGCAAGACAUUUACAGAUCAUCUAUAUACUGCCUUGGUCCAAGCCGGAAUCCACACUUUUCGAGAUGAUGAUGAACUUCCUAGAGGAGAAGAAAUCUCCGAUCAUCUCCUCAGGGCAGUUCAGGAAUCAAAGAUAUCCAUAGUUGUCUUCUCAAAAGGAUAUGCUUCUUCUAGAUGGUGUCUCAAUGAACUUGUAGCGAUUCUGAAGUGCAAAAGGAAGAAACGUGGUCAGAUUGCUCUUCCUAUAUUCUAUGACAUUGAUCCUUCAGAUGUGAGAAAACAGAAUGGCAGUUUUGCAGAAGCAUUUGUUAAACAUGAAGAGCGUUUUGAAGAGAAGUUGGUGAAGGAGUGGAGAAAAGCUCUUGAGGAGGCUGGAAAUCUAUCUGGAUGGAAUCUCAAUGAUAUGGCAAAUGGGUAUGCCUUUUUUCCAAAUUUAUGGAGUCAAUAUACUUUACAUUUUUCAAUGUGAAACAAUAAAAUACUUAAUUGACUCGCUAUCAAUGACUGGCUUUUGUCUAUGAGCAGGCAUGAAGCAAAAUUUAUCAAAGAGAUUAUCAAGGUUGUGUUGAAUAAAUUGGAACCCAAGUACUUAUAUGUUCCUGAGCACCUAGUAGGUAUGCAUCAGCUUGCUCGCAAUAUUUUUGACUUUCUAAGUACUGCAACAGAUGAUGUACGCAUUGUGGGCAUACAUGGGAUGCCAGGAAUAGGAAAGACGACUAUAGCAGAAGUUGUAUUUAAUCAACUCUGCAAUGGAUUCGAGGGAAGCUGUUUUCUUUCGGAUAUAAAUGAAAGAUCAAAACAAUUUAAUGGUGGUCUUGUUGAUUUACAAAAGCAACUUCUUCAUGAUAUUUUAAAUCAAUAUGUUGCAAACAUCAAUAGUGUUGAUGGAGGAAAGGUUCUGAUCAAAGAACGACUUCGUCGCAAAAGAGUUCUUCUUGUUGCUGAUGAUUUGGCUCACCUGGACCAGCGAAAUGCUUUGAUGGGAGAUCGAAGUUGGUUUGGUCCUGGAAGUAGAGUAAUUAUUACAACAAGAGAUUCAAGUUUACUUCGUGAAGCAGAUCAAACAUAUCAGAUCGAAGAACUGGAACCAGAUGAGGCCCUUCAGCUUUUCAGCUGGCAUGCCUUUAAGGACACCAAGCCAACAGAAGAUUAUAUUGAGCUUUCGAAGGAUGUAGUUGAUUACUGUGGGGGACUUCCUUUGGCUCUUGAGGUUAUUGGUGCUUGUCUGUCCGGGAAAAACAGAGAUGGUUGGAAAUCUGUAAUUGACAAAUUGAAAAGAAUUCCAAACCACGAUAUUCAAGGAAAGCUUAGAAUAAGUUAUGACUCACUGGACGGUGAAGAACUAAAAAAUGCAUUCCUUGAUAUCGCAUGCUUCUUUAUUGAUAGAAGGAAAGAGUACGUCGCAAAACUGCUAGAAGCCCGUUGCGGUUACAAUCCAGAAGUUGAUUUGCAAACUCUCCAUGAAAGGUCUCUGAUUAAAGUAUUGGGAGAGACGGUAACCAUGCAUGAUCUAUUACGAGACAUGGGAAGGGAGGUCGUUCGUGAAUCGUCUCCAAAAGAACCUGGAAAGAGGACCAGAAUUUGGAAUCAAGGGGAUGCAUGGAAUGUGCUUGAGCAGCAGAAGGUAAGAGCUCAAAGCAUACACGAAAGCAUGGUCAAUGUUGUAUUUUCUAGUCAUACUUAUUACAAAUAAUCGUAUGAAAGUUGUAUUGAUUUUUUUCAGGGUACGGAAGUUGUAGAGGGUCUUAAACUGGAUGUCAGAGCAUCAGAAGCUAAAUCACUGAUCACAGGAUCAUUUGCAAAAAUGAAAUGCUUAAAUUUACUCCAAAUCAAUGGAGCACAUCUCACCGGAUCCUUCAAACACCUUUCUAAAGUGUUGAUGUGGAUUUGUUGGCAUGAUUGUCCUUUGAAAUAUUUUCCAUCUGAUUUUACCUUGGACAAUCUAGCUGUUCUUGAUAUGCAGUACAGUAACCUCAAAGAACUAUGGAAGGGAAAAAAG
rnacentral:lncRNA from 1 species